CCAGACUCCUACGGGAGGCAGCAGUGGGGAAUAUUGGACAAUGGGGGGAACCCUGAUCCAGCGACGCCGCGCGAGUGAAGAAGUAUUUCGGUAUGUAAAGCUCUAUCAGCAGGGAAGAAAGAAAUGACGGUACCUGACUAAGAAGCCCCGGCUAACUACGUGCCAGCAGCCGCGAUAAUACGUAGGGGGCAAGCGUUAUCCGGAUUUACUGGGUGUAAAGGGAGCGUAGACGGGGAUGCAAGUUGGGUGUCAAAACUACCGGCUCAACUGGUAGUCGCACUCAAAACUGCAGCUCUUGAGUGAAGUAGAGGCAGGCGGAAUUCCUAGUGUAGCGGUGAAAUGCGUAGAUAUUAGGAGGAACACCAGUGGCGAAGGCGGUCUGCUGGACAGCAACUGACGCUGAGGCGCGAAAGCGUGGGGAGCAAACAGGAUUAGAUACCCGGGUAG
rnacentral:rRNA from 1 species